ACGCUCGACACCUACGGGGAGGCAGCAGUGGGGAAUAUUGCACAAUGGGGGAAACCCUGAUGCAGCGACGCCGCGUGGAGGAAGAAGGUCUUCGGAUUGUAAACUCCUGUUGUUGGGGAAAAGAGGAUGGUACCCAACAAGGAAGUGACGGCUAACUACGUGCCGGCACGCCGCGGUAAUCUGAGGCGGGCGUGGGACGAAACGGC
rnacentral:rRNA from 1 species